AGAAAAAGAAAAAAGUUUUCAUUAUUUCUCACAGGCAUUGCCUUCCAUGCCUUUCGCCUCUCAACUUAGAGCCUCAGACACUUGCCUCAGCACACGUUGACUCACCUCAACCAAGUAAGGUGCCAGGGGCUUGCCUGCCUUGCCUAGCACCUAGCCUCGCCUCGCCUAGCACCUAACCUUACCUUUAACAACACUGAUCCCACGUUGGUUUAGCUUAAGGCAAGAGAACUAAAUAUAAGAACUUGAGCAAUCCUCCUUCUUAAGCUAACUUUUGGGAUUGAAUUAGUUCUUAUCCAUUUUCUCUAUAUGAUAUCAGAGUCUAGAUUGAAGGCCUUACCAUUCUUCUCCUUCAUUAGAGCCAAGACUUGAAGUCCCUACUCUGUUCUUCUCCUCAUCAGAACCAAGUGUUGAAGUUUCUAGUCUUUUUUCUUUUCUUAAUCAAAACCAAGGGUUUGAAGUCCCUACUUUAUUUCUUCUGUUUUUCUCCUCUAUUUCUCAUGAAAAGAAAUAGAUUAAAAAGAGAGAGAGAGAGAGA
rnacentral:misc_RNA from 1 species